CGGUGUUCAACUGGCGUGUCCGCGGGACGUCCUGCCGGUGGGCUUAGCCCGCAAGGGCGGCCCAACUUCAAAUCCCAUCGCGGUGCUCUUCACUGAGUGUCGAGGUGGGCCGGCACGUUUACUUUGAACAAAUUAGAGUGCUUAAAGCAGGCUAAAACUUCGCCUGAAUACUGUGUGCAUGGAAUAAUGGAAUAGGACCUCGGUUCUAUUUUGUUGGUUUUCGGAACCCCGAGGUAAUGAUUAAUAGGAACGGAUGGGGGCAUUCGUAUUGCGACGUUAGAGGUGAAAUUCUUGGAUCGUCGCAAGACGGACAGAAGCGAAAGCAUUUGCCAAAAACGCUUUCAUUGAUCAAGAACGAAAGUUAGAGGUUCGAAGGCGAUCAGAUACCGCCCUAGUUCUAACCAUAAACGAUGCCAGCUAGCGAUCCGUCGACGUUCCUCCGAUGACUCGACGGGCAGCUUCCGGGAAACCAAAGCUUUUGGGUUCCGGGGGAAGUAUGGUUGCAAAGCUGAAACUUUAAAGGAAUUGACGGAAGGGCACCACCAGGAGUGGAGCCUGCGGCUUAAUUUGACUCAACACGGGAAACCUCACCAGGCCCGGACACCGGAAGGAUUGACAGAUUGAGAGCUCUUUCUUGAUUCGGUGGGUGGUGGUGCAUGGCCGUUCUUAGUUGGUGGAGCGAUUUGUCUGGUUAAUUCCGAUAACGAACGAGACUCUAGCCUGCUAACUAGGCGUAUUUUCGACAUCUCAAAGGUCCGUCGUCCCGGCCCUCGGGUCGUGGGCGUGCGCGAUUUUUACUGUCGGCGUACUAUCAAUUCUUCUUAGAGGGACAGGUGGCUUCUAGCCGCACGAGAUUGAGCAAUAACAGGUCUGUGAUG
rnacentral:rRNA from 1 species